ACCUGACCAGUGACUGGGGCCGACACUGUAGGCCUAGCUAGUGUAUUACUACUAUAUAUAUCCACAGCAGUGUGUGUAAGACUCUACACCAAUGAUAGCGGCCCUGCAGUAGUAAAGGGCCAGUAUUACUACAGAGCAACUGGCUCAUUCAUACAGUUGAUGUCUGUCAUACUGCUAUAGGUAGAUACCCCAGAGGAUAGCUUACCGGUGCCUAUACCCACCAGGGCUGUACAACAGGCAACAAGUGUUUUGUAUUACAGCAUAUAUACUGGACUAUUACUGGACUACAGGACUAUUACAGGACACCAGGCUUUACAGCAUACAGAGCUACUACAAUACUAAAGUGCAAACAUUCUCGAAGAUUUUUUUAAAGAUUUAAAAAAAAAAAAAAGGAUUUACCAAAAAACAUAUUUUCUGUAAUAUCAUGAUAAUAUCAUGAUAAUGAUGGUGUGUAGAAUUUUACCUUACUGACCACAGCAACUUCACACAUAAGUGUUUCUACAAUUGUUUUUUAUGAUUAUUUAUCGGAACAGUGUUUAAAUAAGAUUUCAUUUUUAUCUGGAUUUUCUAUAGAACCCUAUAAUGAAUUGUGUUCUGGGAUGUAAGAAAGUGACUGUAUCAGUUUAUUGUACACCUGUGAGCCGUAAUCUUCUAAGUUUUCUACAGAAACCCUGGAAUUUGUCUCUACAACUUGCAGAUCUAUAGUAAAAGGUGUGGAAAUACUUAGGAGGGAUGAUGGAGUGUCAAUCGAGAGUAAACCCAGGGUUUUGUGGACGGCGUUACAUCCUCGCGUGGUCAGCGUUAUUUCUUAGUCUUGCGGCCACGGUCCAGCCACAGCAGUCAUGGAGAAAAGAUUCAGCCUGUGCAGACAGUUCGUUUGGAUAUAUUUUCGGCCAUGAUGACAUGGCAACGUGUCGUGGACAGUGGCAGGGCCAUAUUAGGAACAGUAGUCAGUUGUGUGCCCCAGGGUGGGGCGUGUGUUCAUGGCAGGAUGCUGGACGUUUACGAGCCAUACGUUGGGAGGAGGCAGUUUCAGUACAUGGGUGUUUUGCCUAUAAUGCUGCGAACGAUGGCGGAAGAUGUCGUGAAUGUGGCAAAGACAUGGAAAGGGAUGAUCUGGCAGGGAUUGGAAUUGGAUGUCCUCACCAAAACUUUGGUCAGACGUCCUGUAUCUCCGGCGGUCGGAUUGAUGCGAGUUGUUGCGUCGACGCCCACUUCAAAACGGCGUGCCACUAUCGCCCAACCAUGUCGGGUGUACUGUGCUGUCGCAAGCCAAGUGAGUUUAAAGCAGUGGAGAAGCCAAGAAUCCUUGUUCGGCCACGGCCAAUGAUGCAAGUGAGCACAGGUCAGAUCUUCUUGCUGACCUGUCAGGCACAUGGAACCCCACCCCCUCGUACCCAAUGGUACAAGGAUGGAACACAGAUCACUAAGGCCAGCAAGCGCAUCCAGAUUCUCUCCUCAGGUGACCUUUUGGUAACCAUGGCGAGAAGGUCAGACUCUGGUCUCUACAGUUGUGAGGUCAUCAACAGUGAGGGAGUGGAUAUGGCCAGCUCUAUAGUGGUCAUCAGAGAGCACCUGUCAGGCUGUCGGGAUGGUUCCACAGAAGGAUUAGGGACUCACGAGUACGUUCACGCGUGUGCUGGAAAGUGGGCAGGACAUGUAAGGAAAGGGCGGAGCUUAUGCAGGAAGGGGUGGAAGGUGUGUAGUCCGUCAGACACAGAAACUCUCCGCGACCUGUCCUGGAUGGAUGUGUUCGAUGUAGAUGGUUGCUAUGCUUACAAUGCAGCUAGUCGUCAGGGCACCUGUCGAAGAUGUAAAAAGGGAAAUAUGGCAGGAUUCGGGAGAAAAUGUGGGAAACUACGAUAUACGAAACAGUCAUGCUUAUCUCAAGGUCGAAUAGAUGUGUUCAAAGUGAAAGACAAGACUAAGGGUUGUUCCUAUAGAGAAGGUGUCACCUCCGGGGUGUUAUGUUGUAAAAAGUCGGCCAUCAAAACACCAGCAGAGAAGCCACCAGCAUCCCGAAAUUGUACCCCACCAUGUGUCAACGGUGGUAAAUGUGUUGGUCACAACACGUGUCAGUGCCCACAGGGAUAUAAAGGCGCCAUGUGUCAGAAUCCUGUGUGCAGUAAGAGUUGUGGGGCACGUGCAGUGUGCGUCAAGCCAGGGAAGUGUCAAUGUAUGCCAGGGUUCACAGGCAAGGGAUGUCGACGAAAGCUUAAACACGUCUGUAAAACUCCCUGUCUAAACGGGGGACGCUGUCGUAGGGGAAAGUGCAAAUGUGGGCCAACACACCACGGAAAAUCAUGUGAACAUUUACUGGAAAGUUUGAAAUUAUCACAUCUUAACCGAACAGAGCGGUGAGAUCUGCAGAUGUUAAAUAGCAUGUGACUGUUUGUGAUAAAUCGCUCAAACUGCUGCCAAGGGAGACAACCCAUCAGCGUGAUUUACAUGUCUAUACUUGUGUCUAUUCCGGAUACUCUGUCGCUGAUUCCGUACACCGUGGGGACUGUUGUUAGGAAUGUGUGAAACAGACAGUCUGGUUGUAUCAUGACAUUGUAGAUAUGUCAUAGAUACAUAUCAUGAUGACAUAAAUGCCAUGGUUACAAGUCGAUAUGACAAUGACUUUGUGGUUAUUGAUAUGACGUUGAUUGGUGUCAUGGUUACCCAUGUUAUGACAAAGAUGUCAUAGAUAUUCAUCAGCAUGACAAAGAUGUCAUAAAUUCAUAGAUCUUAAAUGAAAAUGUGAUGAGAUGUGUUCCACUGUUUACGGGAAGAAACAACUGAAUUCUUUAAAACACAUUAUUAACAAAGACAAUUAAAUGUGAAAAACAGCUAUUUUUCUAUUAAUGUGAAGAAAGUCAGAGUGGUGAAUAAAGAGUUCAUUUUCUGUUGAACCGGAAGAAAAUUGACAUAAUUGCUAACAUGUGUGAUCUCCAUCCAUCAAAGAAAUCCAGGAAGUUGCAGUCCAUGACAUAAACAGACAAUACAAUAGGAACUAUGGAAACCUACAGAGACCUUGAUUGUGGACAAGUAUGGAGGCCUGUGGUGGCCAUAGAAUUCUGUGAUUAGAAUUCAAAUGAGCUAUCAGGCUUAGAGACGACAUUGAUCUCUGUUAAAGUAUGGUACCUCCUACAUGUCAUGGUGAAUUGUUUGGUAUGGAGAGCAAUACAGGCCAUGGACAAUGAUGGUACGUGUCUGUGUGACUGUACCUGGCUGUUAUAGUGUUCAUUAGAGACAAUGUGAAGGGCUGUGUGUAAAUAUAGCAGUGUUCUUAGUCUGUAAAAAGCUUGUAAAUAACCUUUUAUUUAUACAUCCACAUCUACAAACAAGUCCCAUAACUCUUGUCAGUUCAGGGGGAGAUAACUUUAUGAACUUUGAUAUAAAUUUUGUUUCUGAAUAUAGAAUUGUUUCUAUUUUAUAUAUAUGUACAAUAGAACCUGAAAAGUGUAAACUCCAGAUUUAAAAAACAAACAUUUUAGAUGUUCAUGCAUAGAAAACAAUGUUCUCAGCAUCCUGGUCUCUUUGAUAAAAAGUGUCAUUCGGGAUUAUGUUAGGGAACAGAAGUGUGGAGAAUGAGGUUCAUCGUAAAUUAAUAUAUCAAAACUUAUGUAUAAGUUUUAAUUGUUGUAUGUGUAUUGUCUGUGAACAACCAUCACGAUAAUUGUGUAUAUAUACAAUGAUAUAGAUAUUUAUGGUGUAUAUAUACUGCGUCUGGUUGUGAGGUAAUGAUUGUAGCAGACAGGUCCAAAUCAAUAACAUGUGUUUGAUUGCGAGUCUUACGGGUGACACGUUAGGAAACAAAUGUAAUACAUGUAUGAGAGCAAUUAGAAUGUUUGUAAUUUUACAUAUGAUAUCUGGAGAUAAUUGCAAUCAUUUUAAGGAAAUAGAAUUUCAUGGUUUUCCAAUCCCAAUUAUUUAUAAUUUUAAAAGGAAAAUAUUUUUGUAUCAAAAUAACUUGAAAAAAUGUCAUUCUUUCUACAAUUGAAGUAAGGGCAAAUUUGAGAAAUAGUAAUACAACUGUUUUUUAUAAAUCUUAAUUGCUUGUACAAAUUUUGCUGUAGGUACCCUCAAUAAUGGAAAAAAUUGAAAGUGGAUAGAAAAUCUGAAGAAUGAAUGUCUAAAAAUUGUAGGUGUUUUGACUGUACAAUUCGUAUUCCAUACUCAUAAAAUAAACAUGCAUGUUAAAAAAAGGACAUAUUGAGAAACUGUUUCACCUGAUUUUUUUUGUAUAUUUUGAAAUUCCUCCUCUAAGUUAUGAAGUUUUGAUUUUAUAUUUUGAAAUUUUUAUACAUGUAGUAUAAAUUUUGAGAUUUUCAAUGUAUGCAAUGUUUAUAGAAAUUUUCAUUUUAUACUUUGAAAUUUACAUCGCAUAUUUCGAAAUUUUUGAUUUUUAUUUUGAAAUUUUCACUUGAUAUUUUGAAAUUUUUAUUGUAUAUUUUGAAAGUUAUGAGUAAUGUGAACCAUGACCGAGCUUAUAAUGUCCAUUAAACCUAUCCAUGCAUUCUUCAUUUCUUUUUGUGAUAAGAAUCUCAUUUGACAUAACUGAAAAUUCGUAAUCUAACAUGAACAACACUUUUUUAUAAACGAUGAACAAAGGGAGAAAUAGUAAAUGAUAGAACUGAACUUCAUAUUUAAAAGAAUUUUGGCAAGGGUUGUCUAAAAUUGGAAAAUCUUCAUUUUAAUAAUAUCACCAUUCAGGACUUUUUAGUUUGGAUAAGUACAUCGAUGAAAAUCUACCUCAUGUAAUAUACAAAGGUUUUUGUAUAUUUUUUAGAAUUUUCGCAAUGUUUACUGUGUGAGUAAGGGUUACGUGGGAAUGAUGAUGAUGCAUUCAUGAUCACGUAAUCAUCAAGUCUUAAACAUGUUACAAAGUUCUGAGCUGAAAAUUGUUCCUUAUCUUGUAUCAAUGUAUGCUUCAAACUGCCAGUAAUAUCAUUUCAAAUCACACCCACACAUUCAGUUUCCAUGGUAACCUUGCAUCAUUUUGCCAUUCUGAUUUAUUAGAAAAUAUGCUUUUUGCUAAAUAUGUACUAAUGUUUAUAAAUCUCUACAAAAUAAUAGGACAGUCAAGUAGUUAAUAAAGCCACAAAAGAAAAAAAAUGAUAAGUUAAUUUGAAAAGAAUAUUUUCUGUUUAUACUAAAUGAUAACAACAUUGUCACCAGGGUCAGGUAAAGGUCAUGUCAAGGACAUAUGUGCUAUAAAGGUCACAUAUGUUUUACUAUGACGCAAAAAGACUAUUUUGUUUUAAAAGUUAAAAGUCUUCAAAUCGUUGUUAUUGUUAGAAAAUGGGUGAGGAAUAAAGUCAAGGGAAGAGUAGAUGUCUGGUGACACAAGGUCAAGAAUUAAGUCACUUUUUUAGGAGGGGUAGAUAUGUUUUUAAUGAGGGCUUAGGAAUGAAGUGACACUUUAAUUUGUGCUGGAGUAGAUAUUGUUAGAUAUUGUUGGGGGCUGAAGUCACACUUUGGGUGAGGGUAUAGAUAUUGUUGGGGGCUGAAGUCACACUUGAGGGAGGGUCACUAAGAUACUGUUUUACUCAAGGUUAGGGAUAUAGUCACACUUUGUGGGUAGAUACUGUUUUGAGGUGAUGGAUGAAGUCACACUUUGGGGAAGGGUAGAUAUUGUAUGGACUCAAGGUUAGGGAUAUUGUCACACUUUAGGGAAGGGUAGAUAUUGUAUGGACUCAAGGUUAGGGAUAAAGUCAUAUUUUGAGGGAAGGGUUGGUAUUGUUUUGAGGGAAGGGUGAAGUCACACUUUAGGGAAGGGUAGAUAUUGUAUGGACUCAAGGUUAGGGACAUAGUCACACUUUGGGGAAGGGUAGAUAUUGUUCUGAGGUAAGGGUGAAGUCACACUUUAGGGAAGGGUUGAUAUUGUUUUUGUUUAAGUUGAUUGAGCACCACUUUGUUGAUGCCACAUUGUCACAUGUUAAGUUUCCUUUCCUUGUUGUUAUAUUUUGUAAAUGUCAUCGUUAUUAACCAAAUCUGAUCUGUUAUCAUCACAACAUUAUUGAAUAUCAUUUAUCAUCAGUACAACAUGUUAUCUGUUAUCAGUGAUAACAUUUUUUAAUAUUAUGUUACCAUUGAUACCAUAUUAAAACCACCUGUUAUCAGUAAUAACAUUAUAAAUGGUAUGUGUUGUCAAUGAUAUCAGAUUCAAUAUCAUCUGUUAUCAUUGAUAACAUUUUAACAUCACCUGUUAUCAGAAUGAUACCAUAUUAAAAGUGCAAGUGCAAACAAAUGCCAGUGAUAUCAAAUAAUAAAGAAAAUGUGUAAAAAAGAUGA
rnacentral:misc_RNA from 1 species